GACGUAGGGAGCGAGCGUUGUCCGGAUUUAUUGGGCGUAAAGGGCCAGUAGGCGGCUUGGCAAGUCAGGUGUGAAACCUCCAGGCUCAACCUGGAGACGCCACUUGAUACUGCCAUGGCUAGAGUCCGGUAGGGGAGCAUGGAAUAUCCAGUGUAGCGGUGAAAUGCGCAGAUAUUGGGUGGAACACCAGUGGCGAAGGCGGUGCUCUGGGCCGGAACUGACGCUGAAUGGCGAAAGCGUGGGUAGCAAACAGG
rnacentral:rRNA from 1 species